ACACAUAUGUAAGAUAAAUGAACUAAGUCAAGAUUAAGGGGCAAACUUGGAAUAAUGCUCCAAAUACUGUAAGUAAAUAAAUAAAUACAUAGUUCAAAAUAGUAAUAACAUAAAGAAAGGCAAUACAUCGCUAUGAAACUGGCCCCCAUAAGUCAGUAAGUGUGGAAAAGUAAAUAAUCUAACGCAGGCCCCCAUAAGCCCAGAGGGUGCAACCAAAGAAAGUAAAUAAUCAAAAUUACACUAAUUAACCAAAUCUCAAGCCAUAAUCGUGAAUCCAUCCAUACCAUAACAUACCAUAAAUAACCUCUCAAUAACGGACUCAAAUCGAAACUCAUACCAUAAUCAUCCUCAUUUAUCACUCUUGAACCAAAACUCAUGUCAUCAAUUACCGGACAUGAAUCAUAACUCAAUAUCAAUAAAUCGUUGAACUUGGCCCGGAGCUAAAACCAACUCCCAAGCACCAAUAUAGAAUAAUUAUAAU
rnacentral:lncRNA from 1 species